rnacentral:sRNA from 1 species
CAGUGGGGGCUUGAAAUACAGCCCUAGUUGACCCGCCUAAGUCUUAACUGACUCCGUUAUUUGGGUCACGACACUCCUUUCUCCUUUGAUGCGUAGCUAGUUUUCUGCUCUGUC